rnacentral:tRNA from 1 species
GGCAUGUAGCUCAGUGGCAGAGUACUUGCCUAGCAUGUGUGAGGCACUGGGUUCCAUCCUCAGCACCA